CGAGGGGCAGCAUGGUCUUAGCUUGCUAAGACUGAUGGCGACCGGCGCACGGGUGCGUAACGCGUAUGCAACUUGCCUCACAGAGGGGGAUAACCCGUCGAAGGACGGACUAAUACCGCGUACACUCUAUGUUGGGCAUCCAAUGUAGAGGAAAUGAAAUUCGCUGUGAGAUAGGCAUGCGUCCCAUUAGCUAGUUGGUGAGGUAACGGCUCACCAAGGCGACGAUGGGUAGGGGAACUGAGAGGUUGAACCCCCACACUGGUACUGAGACACGGACCAGACUCCUACGGGAGGCAGCAGUGAGGAAUAUUGGUCAAUGGGCGAGAGCUGAACCAGCCAAGUCGCGUGAAGGAUGACUGUCUUAUGGAUUGUAAACUUCUUUUAUACGGGAAUAACAAGAGUCACGUGUGGCUCCCUGCAUGUACCGUAUGAAUAAGCAUCGGCUAACUCCGUGCCAGCAGCCGCGGUAAUACGGAGGAUGCGAGCGUUAUCCGGAUUUAUUGGGUUUAAAGGGUGCGUAGGCGGCCUGUUAAGUCAGCGGCGAAAUCUAGGAGCUUAACUCCUAAAUUGCCAUUGAUACUGGCGGGCUUGAGUGUAGAUGAGGUAGGCGGAAUGCGUGGUGUAGCGGUGGAAUGCAUAGAUAUCACGCAGAACUCCGAUUGCGAAGGCAGCUUACUAAGGUACAACUGACGCUGAAGCACGAAAGCGUGGGUAUCAAACAGGAUUAGAUACCCUGGUAGUCCACGCAGUAAACGAUGAUAACUGGGCGUAUGCGAUAUACAGUAUGCUCCUAAGCGAAAGCGUU
rnacentral:rRNA from 1 species